rnacentral:rRNA from 1 species
GUGCCAGCAGCCGCGGUAAUACGUAGGUCCCGAGCGUUGUCCGGAUUUAUUGGGCGUAAAGCGAGCGCAGGUGGUUUAUUAAGUCUGGUUUAAAAGGCAGUGGCUCAACCAUUGUAUGCAUUGGAAACUGGUAGACUUGAGUGCAGGAGAGGAGAGUGGAAUUCCAUGUGUAGCGGUGAAAUGCGUAGAUAUAUGGAGGAACACCGGUGGCGAAAGCGGCUCUCUGGCCUGUAACUGACACUGAGGCUCGAAAGCGUGGGGAGCAAACAGGAUUAGAUACCCUGGUAGUCC